CCUUCUGUGGCGCAAUGGGCCAGUGUGUCUGGUUGUUAAGAAGGCUGGUGGUUCAAGUCCACCCUGGGAGGG